rnacentral:tRNA from 2 species
GGGGCUAUGGCGAAGUUGGGAUCGCGCUUGAAUGGCAUUCAAGAGGCCGUGGGUUCGAAUCCCACUAGCUCCACCA